rnacentral:misc_RNA from 1 species
AACGCACAUUGCGCCCUUUGGCAUUCCGAAGGGCAUGCCUGUUCGAGCGUCAUUACACCAAUCACGCCUGGCGUGGUAUUGGGCGACGGGGCCGUCACACGCCCCGCGCCCCAAUGACCUUCCGGCGGGACGGACCGUAUCUCAGCGUUGUGCAUCACGUAUUCGCUGGCGAGGACGGGACGGCCGAGCCGUUAAACAACCCCCUUCUCAGGUUGACCUCGGAUCAGGUAGGGAUACCCGCUGAACUUAA